ACGCUGGUCACGUGAUCUGCUAAAAUCUUGCAGAUUUUUAUUUAGCUAGUUAAUUAGAAAUCUGCUAGAUUUUAGCAGAUCACGUGACCAGGGU